CCUACGGGAGGCAGCAGUGAGGAAUAUUGGUCAAUGGACGCAAGUCUGAUCCAGCCAUGCCGCGUGCAGGAAGACGGCUCUAUGGGUUGUAAACUGCUUUUGUACGAGGGUAAACGCAGAUAAGUGUAUCUGUCUGAAAGUAUCGUACGAAUACGGAUCGGCUAACUCCGUGCCAGCAGCCGCGGUAAUACGGAGGAUUCAAGCGUUGUCCGGAUUGAUUGGGUUUAAAGGGUGCGUAGGCGGUCGGAUAAGUUAGAGGUGAAAUCCCGAGGCUCAACCUAUGUACGGCACUUGAUACUGGCGGGCUAGAGUGCGGUAGAGGUAAAGGGAAUUCCUGGUGUAGCGGUGAAAUGCUUAGAUAUCAGGAGGAACAUCGGUGGCGAAGGCGCUUUACUGGGCCGUAACUGACGCUGAGGAACGAAAGCCAGGGUAGCAAAUGGGAUUAGAUACCCGAGUAGUC
rnacentral:rRNA from 1 species